UACGAAGGGGGCUAGCGUUGCUCGGAAUUACUGGGCGUAAAGGGUGCGUAGGCGGUUCGUUAAGUCCGUUGUGAAAUCCCCGGGCUCAACCUGGGAAUGGCAAUGGAUACUGGCGGGCUAGAGUGUGUCAGAGGAUGGUGGAAUUCCCGGUGUAGCGGUGAAAUGCGUAGAGAUCGGGAGGAACAUCAGUGGCGAAGGCGGCCAUCUGGGACAACACUGACGCUGAAGCACGAAAGCGUGGGGAGCAAACAGG
rnacentral:rRNA from 1 species